rnacentral:rRNA from 1 species
CUUUACUGUAACUUAGAAUUGAAUUUGAGUUUUACUUGCGCAGUAUAAGUGGGAGGCUAAGAAGACACUUUUGUGGAAGUGUUGGAGCCAGCAAUGAGAUACCACUCUAGUACAACUAAAAUUCUAAUUUUGAAGCCUUAAACAGGCCAAAAAACAGUUCUAGGCGGGCAGUUUGACUGGGGCGGUCGCCUCCCAAAAGGUAACGGAGGCGUACAAAGGUUUUCUCAGAUUGGUCAGAAAUCAAUCGUAGAAUAUAAAGGUAUAAGAAAGCUUGACUGCAAGACUUACAAGUCGAGCAGAGACGAAAGUCGGUCUUAGUGAUCCGACGGUACUGAGUGGAAGGGCCGUCGCUCAACGGAUAAAAGUUA